AACGAACGCUGGCGGCAUGCCUAACACAUGCAAGUCGAACGAGACCUUCGGGUCUAGUGGCGCACGGGUGCGUAACGCGUGGGAACCUGCCCUUAGGUUCGGAAUAACUCCCCGAAAGGGGUGCUAAUACCGGCUAAUGUCCUCGGACCAAAGAUUUAUCGCCUUUGGAUGGGCCCGCGUUGGAUUAGCUAGUUGGUAGGGUAAAAGCCUACCAAGGCGACGAUCCAUAGCUGGUCUGAGAGGAUGAUCAGCCACACUGGGACUGAGACACGGCACAGACUCCUACGGGAAGCAGCAGUGGGGAAUAUUGGACAAUGGGCGAAAGCCUGAUCCAGCAAUGCCGCGUGAGUGAUGAAGGCCUUAGGGUUGUAAAGCUCUUUUACCCGGGAUGAUAAUGACAGUACCGGGAGAAUAAGCUCCGGCUAACUCCGUG
rnacentral:rRNA from 1 species